UGAGACUUUCAAAUAAUGAAUUUAUAGUUUUAUUUAUAACCCACACCUGCUCCAAGUUUUCCUGUAUUCUUCCCAUUUCCAAACUCAAAAGUCAAAAUAUCCAGUCAGUUGACAGUGGAGCAGAGAAGGCGAGGGUUUCUGACACUUUUUCCCUAAUCUCUUUUUUUCUUCCCAAAUUCUUGGAAAUUUCUUUUGGUUCCAUCAUCUAGUGAGCUUAAUUGCAAUGAAAAUUGAGCAAUUUUAACUUCUGUUUCCUGUUUAAUGGCGAGUUGUCGUCAAAGAAAAUCCGAAGCGGAUGCAGGAAGGGAGGUAAUAAGUGAACUGCCAGCAGAAGUGAAGGAAAGGAUUUUGGAGUGCUUGCCAACUCGAGACGCGGCCAGAAAUGCUCUGCUCUCAACUCACUGGAACCAUGUUUGGUUGCGGCUUGGGCGGCUUGUGUUUGAUAGGGAAUUCUUCAAAUGCUUCUCAAAGUACGAAGAUGAGAAAGGUAUGGCUCAGAUUAGCGCAAUAAAUGAUAUUCUAAUGCUCAGUGUUGGACCCGUUAAGGAAUUUACUUUACACGUUUGCUACGCAUUGGAUCCUAAGCCCCAGCAGUCUGAUUUAGAUAGGUGGUGUCGUUUUCUUUCGAGAAAUGGUCUACAGGAACUUAGCUUGUUUAUUUCGGAUAAUCAUCAGCUGCCAUCUUGUAUAUUUUCCUGCCGGACAGUUAAGCAAUUGUUUCUGGGUGAUUUAAUUUUUGAUUUGUCGAUCCCUCGUUGUAUAUUUCCCAGCGCCACUUCAUUAGUGAUAAUGUUAAGGGAAUUGUGUACAGAAUUCCUAAUCUUGAGGAGCUGUCUUUCAGUCGUUGUAAAGGGAUCACUAAUUUUGAGAUCAGCAGUCCAAAACUUAAAAGCUUGAGGGUUAUCGGUUCUCUGUGUUGGUAGCUUGAUGAUUCCAGGUGGUUUACCCUGUAUUUGAGAACAAUUACGACUCUUUGCUUGAGUGCCAAUUUGUUGCCUUGUAAAAAUGCAGGAAUAGCCACAACGACAUUCCCGACCGCAAUAAAUUUGCGAGUGAUUGAGCUGUAUGAGUUAAGUUUUUCAUGUGGAGAGAAGCUUGCCUUUGUUUUGCAGUUGCUUCAACAUUCCCCCAACCUAUGUGAGCUGAAGAUUACUGCAUCAGAUAAUACUGUUGGAGGAUCCAAACAGUUGCAAGCAGGAUCUGAAGAUUCUUAACACAGUCAUGAUUGAAGGGUUUAGUGGAUCUACACCUGAAAAGUUUUUUGUGAAAAUGCUGCUCUUGAAAUCCCCUGCACUAGAGAGAUUUUUAAGUAUGGAAUAUGCUGAUAUUGAUAUCUCCGAAAGCCCAGAUUGUUUGCGUGGAACACGGCGACAUUGUGUCAGGACUAUUUAAUUACAUAUGGUUUUAACCUUGUAGGUGUUUAAUAUGAUGAGGCUCCAUGGGUUCAGUUUGGAUGCAAUAUAGAUCUGUAAGGCCAUGUUUGUGGUGGAAGUUGAAAUAUUAAUCUUGUAAGAUAAGGAUGGUACCUUGUUUCCUAUGUUGUUCAGUAAGUAUUAUGUUGUAAAGUAUUUUGAAUCUGUCUGUACGGACAACUCAGUUGGUACUUAAAUCGUGGUAGAUUGAAGGUUAUGAUGGACUUAACUUUUAUUGAGGGUGAAGUUUUUUGAAUCC